GACGAACGCUGGCGGCGUGCUUAACACAUGCAAGUCGAACGGAAAGGCCCUGCUUUUGUGGGGUGCUCGAGUGGCGAACGGGUGAGUAACACGUGAGUAACCUGCCCUUGACUUUGGGAUAACUUCAGGAAACUGGGGCGAAUACCGGAUAGGAGCUCCUGCUGCAUGGGGGGGGUUGGAAAGUUUCGGCGGUUGGGGAUGGACUCGCGGCUUAUCAGCUUGUUGGUGGGGUAGUGGCUUACCAAGGCUUUGACGGGUAGCCGGCCUGAGAGGGUGACCGGCCACAUUGGGACUGAGAUACGGCCCAGACUCCUACGGGAGGCAGCAGUGGGGAAUAUUGCACAAUGGGCGGAAGCCUGAUGCAGCAACGCCGCGUGCGGGAUGACGGCCUUCGGGUUGUAAACCGCGUUCGCCUGUGACGAAGCGUGAGUGACGGUAAUGGGUAAAGAAGCACCGGCUAACUACGUG
rnacentral:rRNA from 1 species